rnacentral:lncRNA from 1 species
UCCUGUUAUCUGUUACUUAAUACUUAAAGUGUUCACUGUUUUUGACAUUAUUUUCUCUGUUAACUGAUCUUAACUGUUAUUUACAAGAAUCACAUUAAAAUUUGCUGUCCAUCUCUUUCUUUACGCUGCUUCCGCAAAGGAGUGACAUAUUCAGCAUAUAUGUAACUGUACAUGUCUUUAAAAAAUCUUUGAGUAUAGUAAAUCCUUGAUAAAAUUGAGAAUGGAAAUGAGGAAAAUGUCAAAGAAACAGAAGCCCGACCAAAUAGAAGAAACAACCC